GCGGAAGUCAAAUUGACGGGCCUCGAU
rnacentral:sRNA from 1 species